rnacentral:lncRNA from 1 species
AUUUUUGGCACCCGGAGGCCCCUCGCAAAGUCUCGCCCCAUUCCGAGUCCGGCGGACGAACUUCGCCCGCGCCCCCCACCAAGGCUAUAGCCCACCCGUUUUUUGGCCAUUUUUCCGCUGGGGGGUUUUGGCACCACGACCUUCGGGCGCUUAUUUCUGGGCGCGGCUUUGCCCGCGGCUUAUUUUUGGUACCCCGAGGCCCCUCGCAAAGUCUCGCCGCAUUCCGAGUCCGGCGGACGAACGUCGCCCGCGCCCCCCACCAAGGCUAUAGCCCACCCGUUUUUUGGCCAUUUUUCCGCUCGGGGGUUUUGGCACCACGACCUUCGGGCGCUUAUGUUUGGGCGCGGCUUUGCCCGCGGCUUAUUUUUGGCACCCCGAGGCCCCUCGCAAAGUCUCGCCCCAUUCCGAGUCCGGCGGACGAACUUCGCCCGCGCCCCCCACCAAGGCUAUAGCCCACCCGUUUUUUGGCCAUUUUUCCGCUGGGGGGUUUUGGCACCACGACCUUCGGGCGCUUAUUUUUGGGCGCGGCUUUGCCCGCGGCUUAUUUUUGGCACCCCGAGGCCCCUCGCAUAGUCUCGCCGCAUUCCGAGUCCGGCGGAUGAACUUCGCCCGCGCCCCCCACCAAGGCUAUAGCCCACCCGUUUUUUGGCCAUUUUUCCGCUGGGGGGUUUUGGCACCACGACCUUCGGGCGCUUAUUUUUGGGCGCGGCUUUGCCCGCGGCUUACUUUUGGCACCCCGAGGCCCCUCGCAAAGUCUCGCCCCAUUCCGAGUCCGGCGGACGAACGUCGCCCGCGCCCCCCACCAAGGCUAUAGCCCACCCGUUUUUUGGCCAUUUUUCCGCUCGGGGGUUUUGGCACCACGACCUUCGGGCGCUUAUGUUUGGGCGCGGCUUUGCCCGCGGCUUAUUUUUGGCACCCCGAGGCCCCUCGCAAAGUCUCGCCGCAUUCCGAGUCCGGCGGACGAACUUCGCCCGCGCCCCCCACCAAGGCUAUAGCCCACCCAUUUUUUGGCCAUUUUUCCGCUGGGGGGUUUUGGCACCACGACCUUCGGGCGCUUAUUUUUGGGCGCGGCUUUGCCCGCGGCUUAUUUUUGGCACCCCGAGGCCCCUCGCAAAGUCUCGCCGCAUUCCGAGUCCGGCGGACGAACUUCGCCCGCGCCCCCCACCAAGGCUAUAGCCCACCCGUUUUUUGGCCAUUUUUCCGCUGGGGGGUUUUGGCACCACGACCUUCGGGCGCUUAUUUUUGGGCGCGGCUUUGCCCGCGGCAUAUUUUUGGCACCCCGAGGCCCCUCGCAAAGUCUCGCCGCAUUCCGAGUCCGGCGGACGAACUUCGCCCGCGCCCCCCACCAAGGCUAUAGCCCACCCGUUUUUUGGCCAUUUUUCCGCUGGGGGGUUUUGGCACCACGACCUUCGGGCGCUUAUUUCUGGGCGCGGCUUUGCCCGCGGCUUAUUUUUGGCACCCCGAGGCCCCUCGCAAAGUCUCGCCGCAUUCCGAGUCCGGCGGACGAACGUCGCCCGCGCCCCCCACCAAGGCUAUAGCCCACCCGUUUUUUGGCCUUUUUUCCGCUUGGGGGUUUUGGCACCACGACCUUCGGGCGCUUAUGUUUGGGCGCGGCUUUGCCCGCGGCUUAUUUUUGGCACCCCGAGGCCCCUCGCAAAGUCUCGCCCCAUUCCGAGUCCGGCGUCGAACUUCGCCCGCGCCCCCCACCAAGGCUAUAGCCCACCCGUUUUCUGGCCAUUUUUCCGCUGGGGGGUUUUGGCACCACGACCUUCGGGCGCUUAUUUUUGGGCGCGGCUUUGCCCGCGGCUUAUUUUUGGCACCCCGAGGCCCCUCGCAAAGUCUCGCCGCAUUCCGAGUCCGGCGGACGAACUUCGCCCGCGCCCCCCACCAAGGCUAUAGCCCACCCAUUUUUUGGCCAUUUUUCCGCUCGGGGGCUUUGGCACCACGACCUUCGGGCGCUUAUGUUUGGGCGCGGCUUUGCCCGCGGCUUAUUUUUGGCACCCCGAGGCCCCUCGCAAAGUCUCGCCGCAUUCCGAGUCCGGCGGACGAACUUCGCCCGCGCCCCCCACCAAGGCUAUAGCCCACCCGUUUUUUGGCCAUUUUUCCGCUGGGGGGUUUUGGCACCACGACCUUCGGGCGCUUAUUUCUGGGCGCGGCUUUGCCCGCGGCUUAUUUUUGGCACCCCGAGGCCCCUCGCAAAGUCUCGCCGCAUUCCGAGUCCGGCGGACGAACUUCGCCCGCGCCCCCCACCAAGGCUAUAGCCCACCCGUUUUUUGGCCUUUUUUCCGCUGGGGGGUUUUGGCACCACGACCUUCGGGCGUUUAUGUUUGGGCACGGCUUUGCCCGCGGCUUAUUUUUGGCACCCCGAGGCCCCUCGCAAAGUCUCGCCCCAUUCCGAGUCCGGCGGACGAACGUCGCCCGCGCCCCCCACCAAGGCUAUAGCCCACCCGUUUUUUGGCCAUUUUUCCGCUGGGGGGUUUUGGCACCACUACCUUCGGGCGCUUAUUUUUGGGCGCGGCUUUGCCCGCGGCUUAUUUUUGGCACCCCGAGGCCCCUCGCAAAGUCUCGCCGCAUUCCGAGUCCGGCGGACGAACUUCGCCCGCGCCCCCCACCAAGGCUAUAGCCCACCCGUUUUUUGGCCAUUUUUCCGCUGGGGGGUUUUGGCACCACGACCUUCGGGCGCUUAUUUUUGGGCGCGGCUUUGCCCGCGGCUUAUUUUUGGCACCCCGAGGCCCCUCGCAAAGUCUCGCCGCAUUCCGAGUCCGGCGGACGAACUUCGCCCGCGCCCCCCACCAAGGCUAUAGCCCACCCGUUUUUUGGCCAUUUUUCCGCUGGGCGGUUUUGGCACCACGACCUUCGGGCGCUUAUUUUUGGGCGCGGCUUUGGCCGCGGCUUAUUUUUGGCACCCCGAGGCCCCUCGCAAAGUCUCGCCGCAUUCCGAGUCCGGCGGACGAACGUCGCCCGCGCCCCCCACCAAGGCUAUAGCCCACCCGUUUUUUGGCCAUUUUUCCGCUGGGGGGUUUUGGCACCACGACCUUCGGGCGCUUAUUUUUGGGCGCGGCUUUGCCCGCGGCUUAUUUUUGGCACCCCGAGGCCCCUCGCAAAGUCUCGCCGCAUUCCGAGUCCGGCGGACGAACUUCGCCCGCGCCCCCCACCAAGGCUAUAGCCCACCCGUUUUUUGGCCAUUUUUCCGCUCGGGGGUUUUGGCACCACGACCUUCGGGAGCUUAUUUUUGGGCGCGGCUUUGCCCGCGGCUUAUUUUUGGCACCCCGAGGCCCCUCGCAAAGUCUCGCCCCAUUCCGAGUCCGGCGGAAGAUCUUUCGCCCGCGCCCCCCACCAAGGCUAUAGCCCACCCGUUUUUUGGCCAUUUUUCCGCUGGGGGGUUUUGGCACCACGACCUUCGGGCGCUUAUUUUUGGGUGCGGCUUUGCCCGCGGCUUAUUUUUGGCACCCCGAGGCCCCUCGCAAAGUCUCGCCGCAUUCCGAGUCCGGCGGACGAACUUCGCCCGCGCCCCCCACCAAGGCUAUAGCCCACCCGUUUUUUGGCCAUUUUUCCGCUGGGGGGUUUUGGCACCACGACCUUCGGGCGCUUAUUUUUGGGCGCGGCUUUGCCCGCGGCUUAUUUUUGGCACCCCGAGGCCCCUCGCAAAGUCUCGCCGCAUUCCGAGUCCGGCGGACGAACUUCGCCCGCGCCCCCCACCAAGGCUAUAGCCCACCCGUUUUUUGGCCAUUUUUCCGCUGGGGGGUUUUGGCACCACGACCUUCGGGCGCUUAUGUUUGGGCGCGGCUUUGCCCGCGGCUUAUUUUGCACCCCGAGGCCCCUCGCAAAGUCUCGCCGCAUUCCGAGUCCGGCGGACGAACUUCGCCUGCGCCCCCCACCAAGGCUAUAGCCCACCCGUUUUUUGGCCAUUUUUCCGCUGGGGGUUUUUUUACCCUAAGACGUUUUAAUUUUGAUUCGACCACAGAAAAAAACAACUUAAAUAUCCAUUUACGAUGUGAAAUCAUUAAUUAUUUGUUUUAUUAUUAAUUUAUAUUUUACUUUUCGAUUUAAAUAAUAUUUGUGCAAAUAGUUACAAGAAUUCAUGGUGGCUCAACGGUGGGUUUGAAACUUUAUUUGUGAUUUUGACCACCAUGUAAAGGGUUCAAGCUGCAGCUAAAUCUUUGUAUCUUAUUUUCAAAUAUUAAGGCAACUUCCCGCGCAGGUAGCCUCCAAUGAACUGCGGGAAAGGGCAACGGGUAGGGGAUAAGCAAUCGAGUUUUUUUGGGUUAGAUUUUUUGCACCGACACAGAGCAUGGGGAGAUGGACUGAGAUGAUAAGCGUCGGACUUGUUUGGAAAGCCUAGAUUUUUUGCGCGGAUGCAGAACAUGGGAUGGCGAACAUGGGAAACUAUGUUUUGGCAUCAAAAAAAUGAAAAUGGAGAAACCGGAACUUUGAAAACUUAGAAGAAGUGGUAAAAGGCUGCCCAUGCUCGAGGGAAGCUCGCCACCAAGGAGCUUGGUGGGCUUUCUCAACCCACAAUUUUGCGUUUUUCUCACGUUUUGACUAUAUUUUGAACCACGACCCGUUUUUUGGCCAUUUAUUCGCUGGGGGGUUUUGGCACCACGACCUUCGGGNNNNNNNNNNNNNNNNNNNNNNNNNNNNNNNNNNNNNNNNNNNNNNNNNNNNNNNNNNNNNNNNNNNNNNNNNNNNNNNNNNNNNNNNNNNNNNNNNNNNNNNNNNNNNNNNNNNNNNNNNNNNNNNNNNNNNNNNNNNNNNNNNNNNNNNNNNNNNNNNNNNNNNNNNNNNNNNNNNNNNNNNNNNNNNNNNNNNNNNNNNNNNNNNNNNNNNNNNNNNNNNNNNNNNNNNNNNNNNNNNAAAGUCUCACCCCAUUCCGAGUCCGGCGGACGAAAUUCGCCCGCGCCCCCCACCAAGGCUAUAGCCCACCCGUUUUUUGGCCAUUUUUCCGCUUGGGGGUUUUGGCACCACGACCGUCGGGCGCUUAUUUUUGGGCGCGGCUUUGCCCGCGGCUUUUUUUUGGCACCCCGAGGCCCCUCGCAAAGUCUCGCCCCAUUCCGAGUCCGGCGGACGAACUUCGCCCGCGCCCCCCACCAAGGCUAUAGCCCACCCAUUUUUUGGCCAUUUUUCCGCUGGGGGGUUUUGGCACCACGACCUUCGGGCGCUUAUUUUUGGGCGUGGCUUUGCCCGCGGCUUAUUUUUGGCACCCCGAGGCCCCUCGCAAAGUCUCGCCGCAUUCCGAGUCCGGCGGACGAACGUCGCCCGCGCCCCCCACCAAGGCUAUAGCCCACCCGUUUUUUGGCCAUUUUUCCGCUGGGGGGUUUUGGCACCACGACCUUCGGGCGCUUAUUUUUGGGCGCGGCUUUGCCCGCGGCUUAUUUUUGGCACCCCGAGGCCCCUCGCAAAGUCUCGCCCCAUUCCGAGUCCGGCGGACGAACUUCGCCCGCGCCCCCCACCAAGGAUAUAGCCCACCCGUUUUUUGGCCAUUUUUCCGCUGGGGGGUUUUGGCACCACGACCUUCGGGCGCUUAUUUCUGGGCGCGGCUUUGCCCGCGGCUUAUUUUUGGCACCCCGAGGCCCCUCGCAAAGUCUCGCCGCAUUCCGAGUCCGGCGGACGAACGUCGCCCGCGCCCCCCACCAAGGCUAUAGCCCACCCGUUUUUUGGCCAUUUUUCCGCUAGGGGGUUUUGGCACCACGACCUUCGGGCGCUUAUGUUUGGGCGCGGCUUUGCCCGCGGCUUAUUUUUGGCACCCCGAGGCCCCUCGCAAAGUCUCGCCCCAUUCCGAGUCCGGCGGACGAACUUCGCCCGCGCCCCCCACCAAGGCUAUAGCCCACCCGUUUUUUGGCCAUUUUUCCGCUGGGGGGUUUUGGCACCACGACCUUCGGGCGCUUAUUUUUGGGAGCGGCUUUGCCCGCGGCUUAUUCUUGGCACCCCGAGGCCCCUCGCAAAGUCUCGCCCCAUUCCGAGUCCGGCGGACGAACUUCGCCCGCGCCCCCCACCAAGGCUAUAGCCCACCCGUUUUUUGGCCAUUUUUACGCUGGGGGGUUUUGGCACCACGACCUUCGGGCGCUUAUUUCUGGGCGCGGCUUUGCCCGCGGCUUAUUUUUGGCACCCCGAGGCCCCUCGCAAAGUCUCGCCGCAUUCCGAGUCCGGCGGACGAACGUCGCCCGCGCCCCCCACCAAGGCUAUAGCCCACCCGUUUUUUGGCCAUUUUUCCGCUAGGGGGUUUUGGCACCACGACCUUCGGGCUCUUAUGUUUUGGCGCGGCUUUGCACGCGGCUUAUUUUUGGCACCCCGAGGCCCCUCGCAAAGUCUCGCCCCAUUCCGAGUCCGGCGGACGAACUUCGCCCGCGCCCCCCACCAAGGCUAUAGCCCACCCGUUUUUUGGCCAUUUUUCCGCUGGGGGGUUUUGGCACCACGACCUUCGGGCGCUUAUUUUUGGGCGCGGCUUUGCCCACGGCUUAUUUUUGGCACCCCGAGGCCCCUCGCAAAGUCUCGCCCCA